CCCCCGCUUCGUCGAUGGGCAUGUGUAUGGGCACACAUUCUGUGGGGCGAGCAGAUCCGGCCCUAGCGAUGUCAUCUUUGGUCUAGCAGCACGCUUCAUGCGGCGAGCAGUUUCGUGCACGAGGAGGGGGCUGCUUGCUUGUUUCCAAGAUGGUUGGAAGGAUUAUUCUUCAUUUGGUGUGAGAGGUCACUGGCAUGGCUUGCGACGUCCACGACUUAGUUGACUUGUGGCGGUGGCGUAGUGUGAUCUUGAUGUAGUUGAUGGGUUAAUGUAAAAAAUUAGUUUUCCAUAUGUUAUGUUUAUAUGCUUGGAUGAAUGAGCAAAGCUAUUGGUUGUUAUGUAACCUUAGUUGGGUUUAGAUAGUUUUGUUGACUAGGUUUCUAUGCAUGUUGUGAAUUGUGCUCAUAUGCACAAUGUUUUCUAUGCCACAACUCAUGAGUUUUCUAUGCCAUAUUUUAUUCA